rnacentral:lncRNA from 1 species
AGGACAGCCAUUUCAGUUAAGACCUUCUAAGUUAGGAUCAGAUUUCAGUUCAUUCAUAAAGGAUGCACCUAAUAGAUUUACCUUGAGACCCUCUGCUUUAUCUGCAGCUGCUGAAAAUAUUGUUUUGACUACAAAGACUGAAAAAGAAAGUCCAUCUAAAGGAUUUACUUUGAGACCCUCUGCGUUAUCCACAGCUGCUGAGAAUAUUGUUUUGACACCAAAAGCUGAAAAUCGGAAAAGGGCAAUUAGUGAUGAUAGCCAAGAGACUGAUCAGUUUGAGGAGGCAAACAAAAAAA